rnacentral:lncRNA from 1 species
GCUGUGACCUUGUUGGACUAAGUGUGGCACUGAAGGGGUGGGCUUAGAGGUCUGCUAUGCUUAAGUUCCACCCAGUGUAAAAUUCCAGUCUCCUCCUGGCUGCCUUUGGAUAAAGAUGUAGAACUCUCUUCUCCUCCAGCAUCAUGUCUACCUGUAUACAUGUAUACAACCAUGCUUCAUGCUAUGAUGACAAUGGACUGAAGCUCUGAAUCUGUAAUCCAGCCCCAAUUAAAUGUUGUCCUUUUAUAAAAAAAAAAAAAGAAAAGAAAAAAAUGUUGUGGCAAUAAUACAGUUUCAAAAAUAAACAAUAACAUUAACAAAUGAAGACACUUGCCAUUCCUUGGUGUCAGUAGAACUAAAAUACACUGAGGUUAUGGAGCUCUGUAAUGUCCAAUGUAAAUUCCAACUUAUUUUGAUUAAAAAAUUAACUUUUAGAUAUAAUUCAUGGAUAGAAUGAACACUAUUAAGACUGGAGUUCCUGGUGGCCACUUAAGUCUCCUGAUUGAGCUUCAUGCCUCCAUUUCAGUUUCUGAAGGUUAUAUUCUGUUAGCACUUAGGCAAUGUAAAAGAGUGAUUUUUUUCGUCCCACACAGAAGCAGAGAGAGAAUCACUUUUCUCCUUAAUUAAGACUUCUGAGUCUCAUCAGCUCUUUGGAAAGGCAGUACUAAGGACUCACUUGGAAAAUGGCUCCAUCAAGGCAACCAAGUCUGCCCACAUUGGCCCAUGCUUGAGUGAAAAUGGUAACAUUUCCAGGAGCUGUUAAGUAAGACUGGUUGGUUCCUUUAUAGAAGACAAUGCAUUGUUUGUCUCUAUCAGAAAAAUGCACAGGUGGUCACUGUUGAUACUCUCUGGGUGACCUCUGAAAUUGAUGAAUAGCAGUGGCCUUUUGGUAUUUAUAAAGUUUAAAUAGUCAUGUGUUAGUGCUACUUUAAACAGUCCUUUUUGACAAGUCUUCACAUCCUCCAUGAAAUUAUACCACUGCGUGAAAGGAAGAUGCUCAUGAUUCUUCACUGUGAAAGGAAAUAUUUGCAUGUUCUGUCCUACACUAAAAUUGGAUGCUUUAUAUUCUCAUCAUACUAUGAAACUCUUGACUUCUGCUUGGGUCUUUAUUUUGACCAUAUAUUGACCAAAACAGUAGCUGACAGCAUCUACCUGUUGAUCUGUAAGAGAAAGAUAGUCACCAUUGUGACAGGGUUGUGCAGGUAAAGAAUUGUGUGCAGUUGUUAAUAUUUUAAGCACUGCUAAAACGGGGUGAAAUAGUGUGCACUUUGAAUCAUUGUGUGCACACUUAGUAGUAAUGCCUUGUCUUUAUUUAGUGAUAGUUUUAGAUGUCCAAACUUAUGAAUAGCAAUUAUAUAGUGAUAACUUUAAAAAUAUAACUCAAAUUAUAUUUUUAAAAGAUUGAUUUAUUUUUAUUUUAUGCAUAUGAAUGUUUGCCUACAGGGAUAUAUUUGUGCCAUGUGCAUGCCUUGUGUCUGUAGAGGCCAGAAUGAGUUAUUAGGUUCCCUGUAACUAGAGAUAAAAGAUGGUGAGGAUCUGCCAUACGGGUGCUGGGAACUGAAACUGGGUCAUAUAAGAGCAGCAAAAACUCUCAACUGCUUAUGAACCUUCUGUUACUGAUGUCUAUAGUUUACAUCUCCCUGGAGGUUAGCUGAAGUAUCAUCAGGGAAUUCUGGAUGUAUCGCUAUAGAAUUAGAAACUGCAAGGCAGAGAGAUGGGUCAGUGGUUAAAAUAGCAUACUGAUCUUACUGAGGAUUCAACUUGUUUCCCAGAUCACAGGUAAGUGUCAUUGACUUGUAACUUCAAUCAGAUCUAAAAUAUUCAACUGUUCUAUAUUUAUUUGAAUAACAGUUGAAUAUAAAAUAUUCAACUGUUCACAGACAUCUACAAUCAUAUGCACGCACUCUCCCAUAAAUACACAUUCACAAUCACAUAGCUAAUAAACAAACUAUAUAUAAAUAUAUGUAUAUAUAUAUACAUAUAUGCAUAUGUAUAUACAUAUAUACAUAUGCUUUACAUUUUCAAAAUUAGAUUGUUAAACUGAAAUUUUUUAUAUGAAGAAACGUCUCUGAUCAAUGAAGGGGCAUGAUCUAUCAAAAAGGUUACAUUGCAUUUCUCUAUGUGUAUAAAAGAAAUUAAAAUUUUAGAGAAAAGAAAAGGUAAUACAAUAUAAAUGGGAAGGAGGAAAGACAGUAGGGUGUAAGUCAGGAGCAGAUAAAGAGAAAGAAGGCAUGUCUCCAGGUAUCUGGCUCUCUUUCUGUCUGCCUGUGUUUCUCUGUGAAUUUCUGUCUCUGUGUUUUUGUCUCUCUUUUCUCCCUCCCUUCCUCCUUCUUCCCUUCCUUCCUUCCUUUGAAUAAAACUUUUGCAGUCUGGGACAUAAUAAUUCAGAAUUGUGUUUGUUCAAGACAGAUAUCCCAUUCUAGAAUGGAGAAUAAAGCAAAUUAAGAUCUGUACAUCUAGGUUUAUUAUACUUUUCUCCUUAAUUAUCAACAAGGGAAAAAAGAAAGGAAGAAAGAAAUGAAAUAUAUAAUAAGUCUUCUCAACAACAACAACAAAAAAACCAAUAUAUACUCUUUUUUAAGGAAUUUGCAAGACUUAAUCUUGAUAUAUUUGUUAGAAAAUUAUAAUUGUUCUUUUCAGUUAAAUUACUAGGUUUUUAAAACAUAAGGUUUCAUUAAAAUGCAGUAUUAUGUGAAAAUCAAACAUCCUUUUGGUGCAGCCUCUCUGUUAGCAAAAUUAGAUGGUGAAUACCAUAAACAAGCUGAAUUCUGCCUGCUGAGGACAGUGUGAUGGCGGCAUCCAUGCAAUGGCUUGCAGAGGGCCAAGCAUGAAUGUAAGUACAAAACAUGCCUUUAAACCAAGGGGAAUAUGCUUUUGAGAGUAUUUUCUACCUCAAUUAUGAUAAAGAAGAUUAAAUCAAAAUUUAAACUACCACAGGUGAAAAACUUCAUUCUCUCUAUGCUAAUUAGGUUCAUGGUGGUAAGUGAUUGCAUUUACAUGUUUGCUUUGUUACCCAUGUCCCUGAGCCUUGUAUUUAAGAUGCUGAUUAAACACGCAAUUUGUUUUUAAAAACUCAAUUGUAGAAACUGUGG